GAGAAAGAGAGGGGCAGAGACACAGGCAGAGGGAGAAGCAGGCUCCAUGCAGGGAGCCCAACGUGGGAACUGGAUUCCAGGACCCCAGGGUCAUGGCCUGAGCCAAAGGCAGAUGCCCAACCGCUGAGCCUCCCAGGUGUCUCAAAAAUAGAAAUAAUUAAUAAGACAAAUGCAAGGGAAAGACAAAUGUGAAGGGGAUUAAGAAGCAGGAACUUCCAGGUAUUGGAUAAAUAAGUCACAGGUAUAAAAAGCAUAGCAUAGGGAAUAUAGUCAAUAAAACAAAUAAAUAAAACAAGGGAUGCCUGGGUGACUCACUUGGUUAGCGACCAACUCUUGUUUUUAGCUUAGGUCAUGAUGUCAGGUUCAUGAGAUUGAGCCCCAAGUCGGGCUCCACGUUGGGGAUGGCACCUGCUUAAGAUACUGUCUCUCCAUCCGCUCCUCACCCUUCACCCCACUCGUGUACCCGUGCACUCUCUCUAAAAAAAGUAAUACACGUGCAAACAUGUCUAUCAAAAAUAACGACAAUUACAAAGCAACCAAAUUCAUGAGUUGUUUCUUAAAAUAGUCUAUAAAAUGUCAAUAUUCUAGCCUAACUUACUUAUGAAAAAAUGGAGAAUGUAGGGAUACGUGAACAAAAAAAUUACAAUGUGGGAAUAACCAAAGAGUUUAUUUUUAAAAUACCCUUAAAAACACAACUUAAACAUUUUGCAGUUCAGUCUGAAGAGCUUAAAGGGAUAACGACCAUCCAAAGCCAUCAAGCUCAAAUCCCUGGAAUGCAUAAAUGUCCCCUUAUUUGGGACAAGGGUCUUUGCAGAUAUGACUGAGUUAAAGGUUUUGAGAAAGGAGAUUCCCCGGGAUUAUUCAGGCAGGUUUGAAAUCCGAUGACAAGCGUGCUAGUGAACGAGGGACGGAAGAGGGCGAGACACAGGAGAGGAGGCCAUGUGGCCACGAGGCAGAGACUGCAGUGAUGUGGCCACAAGCUAAGGAAUGCCUCCAACCAACAGAAGCUGCGAGAGGCGAAGCGCGCCUUCCCCGGGAGCUUCAGAGGGCGCGCCGCCCUGCUGGCACCUUGCCUUCGGACGUCUGGCCUCCAGAACUGCGCCAGCGUAAAUCUUACGCCCUUCUAAGCCUCCAAGUUGAUGGUAAUUUGUUACAGCAGCUCCAGAAAACCCACACACGUAGAAGGCAGGGAUCCACACUUCUUCCUACCACACAUUUUCUCAAGAGGCUCUCUGGUAUCUUUGACUCCAGAUCAGUAACAAGGAUGACAGAAAUCGUUGCUAUGGUAGUUCAUGUAUACACAAGAUGA
rnacentral:lncRNA from 1 species